rnacentral:tRNA from 1 species
AAAGUCUUAGUUAAUUAAUAACACUAAUUUGUCAAAUUAAAAUUACUAUAACUAGUAGACUUUU